rnacentral:rRNA from 1 species
GACGAACGCUGGCGGCGUGCCUAAUACAUGCCAGUAGAACGCUGAAGGAGGAGCUUGCUUCUCUGGAUGAGUUGCGAACGGGUGAGUAACGCGUAGGUAACCUGCCUGGUAGCGGGGGAUAACUAUUGGAAACGAUAGCUAAUACCGCAUAAGAGUAGAUGUUGCAUGACAUUUGCUUAAAAGGUGCAAUUGCAUCACUACCAGAUGGACCUGCGUUGUAUUAGCUAGUUGGUGAGGUAACGGCUCACCAAGGCAACGAUACAUAGCCGACCUGAGAGGGUGAUCGGCCACACUGGGACUGAGACACGGCCCAGACUCCUACGGGAGGCAGCAGUAGGGAAUCUUCGGCAAUGGACGGAAGUCUGACCGAGCAACGCCGCGUGAGUGAAGAAGGUUGUCGGAUCGUAAAGCUCUGUUGUAAGAGAAGAACGAGUGUGAGAGUGGAAAGUUCACACUGUGACGGUAUCUUACCAGAAAGGGACGGCUAACUACGUG